AUUGAACGCUGGCGGCAGGCCUAACACAUGCAAGUCGAGCGAGCGGCGGACGGGUGAGUAAUGUCUGGGAAACUGCCUGAUGGAGGGGGAUAACUACUGGAAACGGUAGCUAAUAACACAUACCAUCAGAUGGGCCCAGCUGGGGUUAGCUCGUAGGUGGGGUAACGGCUCACCUAGGAGACGAUCCCUAGCUGGUCUUAGAUGAUGUCCAGCCACACUAGAACUGGACGAAGUUCCAGACGCCUACGGGAGUCAGCAGUGGGGAAUAUUGCACAAUGGGCGCAAGCCUGAUGUAGCCAUGCCGCGUGUGUGAAGAAGGCUUUCGGGUUGUAAAGCACUUUCAGCGGGGAGGCGUUACCCGCAGAAGAAGCACCGGCUAAUGCCGUGCCAGCAGCCGCGGUAAUAC
rnacentral:rRNA from 1 species